CCGAUUUAACAGACUUGUGACCUAAAGGGUAAUCCCAAUGGUCAUUAUAAAUUUCAUUGUGUGGAACAGAGAAAAGGAGAAUGUCAUAAUACAUACAAAAAGCGCUAAAAUAAAAGCCUAGAAAGACAGCAAGCAUGGUCUUAAAAUUCAUAAUAAUUCAAAAUAUUAGGACUAUUUAACAAAAUUUAUAGAAGUUAACAAUCUUAGCAGUAAUAAAAUGUCUGGAAUUUGCUCACUAUUUAGGUUGUAAGGGCUACUGCAGAAACCGAUUGCAAGGACAGGGAAAUGGCUAACUUAACCAACGCUCAAGAAAAUGACAUAGAGGUUCAGUUUCUUCUGUGUGACAUCAGAUUUUCCAUUAGAGUUUGGGAUUAGUGAAAUCUUGUUUAGAGGGAGGGCCUCCUCAAAUUCAAAUAUUCGAUUGCCAAUGGAUGCUAAUUGUCUAAUUAACGUAUUUGGUAUGCCCAUCCUCCCAGCCAUUUUGAGCCAGCUCUCGUGAGAUGGUUUCAGUAUAACUAUUCAAGAGAGAGAGAAACAAAAACAGAGCAGAAACAGAGGAACCAAGGGAGGAAACAGAAACAGAAACAGAAAGGACCAGAAACAACGUAGGAUAAAGGUUUGCGGCACAUGCAUUCCAGAGAUGGAAACAUUGGUGGCCAGCAACUCUGUGAGUGGUGGUCUAGCAAGAUAUGGUGACUAUCGGCAACAACUCAAGCAUGCCUUUGACAACAUGAUAUGCAGCUACAUGCUCAAAUUAAUAUGCCACCAAUUGCAAAAAUACAAAGGCAUAGAAAUUAUAUACGGUAGAAUAUUCCCGGCUGAUUUCUUUGCACCAUUUUACAUGAUCCUUAAACCAAAAAAAGACUUUCUAGAAUUCUUACUAAAAAGUGCAAACCAAUUAACCAGAAAAGAUGAGUUUAAGGCAAUGGCAUUUUUAAUUCAAAUCCACAAUGAAUGAGACAGGAAAGGAAAUCCAUCCUUAUGAUUCAGCAAAGCUCAACAAGACCAUAAUAACAACUAUUACUCUUGUAACUACUAAACCAAGGCAUUCAGUUCUUCUCACAACCUCAGUCAGCCAAGUUUGCCUUUCUUUCUUUCUCCUUCCCUCUAGGCUGACAACAUAAAAAUGACACCUCAAUAGUGAAUUUAUUGAUCGCUAUUGUUCAUGCCUAAACCAUUUUAGAUGACUUCCCCUCAAGGAAACUUCCCACAUAUAAAGUUGGCAACUCUUAAUUGAUUAGACAAAAUCCAAUCAAAUGAACACUAAUUACAUUUCUGCCCAAAUUUAUUUUCUAAUCAAAGUUUUAUUGAAACGCCAUUGGACAAGUCUUUUAUACCAUGACACAACUACCAACGUUGAUUCUCAACACUUCCAAAUGUAGGACAAUCUGCAGCAUACAAGGAAAUCAAACAAGAAGCUUUUGUUUAUGCAAUGUGCAUUGGAAGUUUUUAAGUACAUUUGAACAAUCUGGGAGGACCUUUGCUUCAGAAAAUAGAGCAUGCUUACUCUCAUCAUUGCUUUGUAUAAGACUGAAGCCCAGUUAUGAUCAGAAACAUACUAGCAUAGCAGUAAACUUCCAGCAUAUGGUUUAACCAACGAUAAUGCCAUCUGAAAUGGCACAUUUGAUACCUUAUUUACAUUUAGGUGCAGAGCUGCACACGCUAUAACUAAAUCUAGUAAGAAGUGCAGAAAUUAAAGGAGUUCAAAU
rnacentral:misc_RNA from 1 species